rnacentral:rRNA from 1 species
GUAGGCGGCAAGCGUUGUCCGGAAUUAUUGGGCGUAAAGCGCGCGCAGGCGGGGUCCUUUAAGUCUGAUGUGAAAGCCCACGGCUCAACCGUGGAGGGUCAUUGGAAACUGGGGGACUUGAGUACAGAAGAGGAAAGCGGAAUUCCAAGUGUAGCGGUGAAAUGCGUAGAGAUUUGGAGGAACACCAGUGGCGAAGGCGGCUUUCUGGUCUGUAACUGACGCUGAGGCGCGAAAGCGUGGGGAGCAAACAGGAUUAGAUACCCUGGUAGUCCACGCCGUAAACGAUGAGUGCUAAGUGUUAGGGGGUUUCCGCCCCUUAGUGCUGCAGCUAACGCAUUAAGCACUCCGCCUGGGGAGUACGGCCGCAAAGGCUG